UCCUGGUUGGCCCAGGCAGUAUCGUCUGAAAAAUCCAACAGACGACAAGGGUUUCGCUCGUUGCCGGACUUAACCGAACAUCUCACGACACGAGCUGAGGACGGCCAUGCAACACCUGUCACUAGGCUCCCGAAGGCACUCCAACAUUUCUGCCGGAUUCCUAGGAUGUCAAGCCUUGGUAAGGUUCUUCGCGUAUCAUCGAAUUAAACCACAUGCUCCACCGCUUGUGCGGGUCCCCGUCAAUUCCUUUGAGUUUUAGCCUUGCGGCCGUACUCCCCAGGCGGGAUGCUUAACGCGUUAGCUUCGCAACGCAAAGGGUCGAUACUUCACACUACUAGCAUCCAUCGUUUACGGCGUGGACUAC
rnacentral:misc_RNA from 1 species